GGCCGAGCGCGGCGCGCAGGGGGCCGUCGUCUACAACUACGGCGGCACUGGCACCGUGCUGCUGCCCAUGUCGCACCCGGGGGCAGGAGGAAAUGUUGCAAGCA